AUUGAACGCUGGCGGAAUGCUUUACACAUGCAAGUCGAACGGUAGAGGGGGCAACCCCUUGAGAGUGGCGAACGGGUGAGUAAUAUAUCGGAACGUGCCCAGUCGUGGGGAUAACGUAGCGAAAGUUACGCUAAUACCGCAUACGAUCUAAGGAUGAAAGCGGGGGAUCGCAAGACCUCGCGCGAUUGGAGCGGCCGAUAUCAGAUUAGGUAGUUGGUGAGGUAAAGGCUCACCAAGCCAACGAUCUGUAGCUGGUCUGAGAGGACGACCAGCCACACUGGAACUGAGACACGGCCCAGACUCCUACGGGAGGCAGCAGUGGGGAAUUUUUGGGACAAUGGGCGCAAGCCUGAUCCAGCAAUGCCGCGUGCAGGAUGAAGGCC
rnacentral:rRNA from 1 species